GAAUCAAGUGGGACGAGCGAGCCAAUUACAUUUUUGCGUCCACUCCACAAAUUCGAUGUGGAAAAAUUGGAUCUUUUGCAAGUUACCAAUCACAACAGAUAGAUGCUCCACUGUCGCGUACGAAGCCAUAUUCAUCUAUGACAUCCUUGGGAGUCUCCUUUAAGAGCUUAAGGGCCAAUUACAUCUAGUCUUCCCGAUAUCGGGCUCGAAGUCAAUCCCGAUGUCGGGCCUAAUAAUCGUUUUCCGUUUCACUAAAUAUCGGCGCAUCAUUAACAAUAUUUUGUCUUCGUGCCCCUCCCCCGCAAAAAUCGGCAGACUAUUGUACAGAAAAUUACAGACAAGGCGUCUCCGUGACAUCAGUUAUAAAAUCGUCGUAAACCUGAUAAGAAUGUUAGAUCAUGAUGAUUUUUGAUGUAAUCAAGUUUAGAAUGAUUGAAUGAAUCUACAAUGAUUUUUAUUACCAUUUUUAAGAUUCCGUAUUGAACACGACUUUAUUUACGAACGCAACAAUUUUGUUAUUUUUGAACGCAAUUUACGAACUGUCAUUUUCAUUAUCAUGGCGGAAGACGAGGACGGUGUAUCAAAUAAGAAAUCGGCCCAAAAUUCAAAUAAUGCAGGGUCUGCGCAGGACAACGAACAGAACAGAACGGAUUUGCCAUACUUCCCCCGUCUACUAACCCCGGAAACUGACGAAGCGAAGUGUAAUAAUAGCGAAAACGGCGAUGCGUUGCCCGCUGAAGCAAAAAGUUCGUCUUCGAAGUCCACCGGGGCGACACGAAAGGAGGAGAACCCGUUUUCGUUCCGGCAUUUCCUGAAGCGCGACCUAUCGCUGCCGGGCACCUCGACCUACGAGAGCACGGGCGCCCGGCCCAAGGUGUACGCCAGCACGGUGCAACACUCGCCCACGCGGCCCGACGCCGCGCGCGACCCCCAAGCCAAAGAGAAGAGCGCGGAACCCCGCGCCAGUGAUAUUGCGUCUUCAAGUAGUUCUGUAGAGGUGUCUCAUAAUAGUGUAGUGGACAAUACCGAGUGUGAUCAUAACCCGUACGCGGCUGGCGCGGACCCGCAGCCGUACCGGGCCGGCCUGGAGCCGCUGGGCAUGCCGUCGCUGCCUGACUUUGUGCAGGAUCACAUACUUGUGGAACAGGCCUAUCUGAACUCUAACGGGCCCAUAUCAGUGGAUCUGGACAAUCUGCCGGAUUUUACGUUUAACACAAAUUACAACGCGGGUAGUGCGGGGUCGCUGGGGCGGCGAGGGGCGCGAAGUUAUGGAGGACGUGAUUUCGAGUACUCUGCGCCGGCGGGGGCGGGCGCGCGGGCUCGGGUGCCGCUGGACCUGCCGCCGGGCGCGGAGGGCGCGCCGGCCCCGGAUGUGCCACUGAGCCUGGACCUCACCGAGUCUGUGAACCCUGCUGAUCGGCGGAACAUGUCUCCGCGCAGCACCUUCCCACUAGACCUGCCUCCUAAUGCUGGGGCAGAGUCUAUGCGGCUGCCGGACUUCCUGCCGGUGCACCCGGGGCGGACGUCCCCGGAACCAGAGCCUGACUUGCAGCCGCUGUUGCAGGAGUUGGAAAGAACAAGAUCCGAGUUGAGCCUGGAGCGGCGGCAGCGCGCGCGCGCGGAGGACGAGCUGCGCGCCGCGCGGGCCGAGGCGCAGCAGGCGCGGCGCCGGGCUGACGGCGCGGGCGCCCGGGGAGAUGACGCGGUAACAUAUCCCUGCAGGUCCGAGUCGAGCCUGGAGCGGCGGCAGGCGCGGCGCCGGGCUGACGGCGCGGGCGCCCGGGGAGAUGACGCGGUAACAUAUCCCUGCAGGUCCGAGUCGAGCCUGGAGCGGCGGCAGGCGCGGCGCCGGGCUGACGGCGCGGGCGCCCGGGGAGAUGACGCGGUAACAUAUCCCUGCAGGUCCGAGUCGAGCCUGGAGCGGCGGCAGGCGCGGCGCCGGGCUGACGGCGCGGGCGCCCGGGGAGAUGACGCGGUAACAUAUCCCUGCAGGUCCGAGUCGAGCCUGGAGCGGCGGCAGGCGCGGCGCCGGGCUGACGGCGCGGGCGCCCGGGGAGAUGACGCGGUAACAUAUCCCUGCAGGUCCGAGUCGAGCCUGGAGCGGCGGCAGGCGCGGCGCCGGGCUGACGGCGCGGGCGCCCGGGGAGAUGACGCGGUAACAUAUCCCUGCAGGUCCGAGUCGAGCCUGGAGCGGCGGCAGGCGCGGCGCCGGGCUGACGGCGCGGGCGCCCGGGGAGAUGACGCGGUAACAUAUCCCUGCAGGUCCGAGUCGAGCCUGGAGCGGCGGCAGGCGCAGCGCCGGGCUGACGGCGCGGGCGCCCGGGGAGAUGACGCGGUAACAUAUCCCUGCAGGUCCGAGUCGAGCCUGGAGCGGCGGCAGGCGCGGCGCCGGGCUGACGGCGCGGGCGCCCGGGGAGAUGACGCGGUAACAUAUCCCUGCAGGUCCGAGUCGAGCCUGGAGCGGCGGCAGGCGCGGCGCCGGGCUGACGGCGCGGGCGCCCGGGGAGAUGACGCGGUAACAUAUCCCUGCAGGUCCGAGUCGAGCCUGGAGCGGCGACAGGCGCGGCGCCGGGCUGACGGCGCGGGCGCCCGGGGAGAUGACGCGGUAACAUAUCCCUGCAGGUCCGAGUCGAGCCUGGAGCGGCGGCAGGCGCGGCGCCGGGCUGACGGCGCGGGCGCCCGGGGAGAUGACGCGGUAACAUAUCCCUGCAGGUCCGAGUCGAGCCUGGAGCGGCGGCAGGCGCGGCGCCGGGCUGACGGCGCGGGCGCCCGGGGAGAUGACGCGGUAACAUAUCCCUGCAGGUCCGAGUCGAGCCUGGAGCGGCGGCAGGCGCGGCGCCGGGCUGACGGCGCGGGCGCCCGGGGAGAUGACGCGGUAACAUAUCCCUGCAGGUCCGAGUCGAGCCUGGAGCGGCGGCAGGCGCGGCGCCGGGCUGACGGCGCGGGCGCCCGGGGAGAUGACGCGGUAACAUAUCCCUGCAGGUCCGAGUCGAGCCUGGAGCGGCGGCAGGCGCGGCGCCGGGCUGACGGCGCGGGCGCCCGGGGAGAUGACGCGGUAACAUAUCCCUGCAGGUCCGAGUCGAGCCUGGAGCGGCGGCAGGCGCGGCGCCGGGCUGACGGCGCGGGCGCCCGGGGAGAUGACGCGGUAACAUAUCCCUGCAGGUCCGAGUCGAGCCUGGAGCGGCGGCAGGCGCGGCGCCGGGCUGACGGCGCGGGCGCCCGGGGAGAUGACGCGGUAACAUAUCCCUGCAGGUCCGAGUCGAGCCUGGAGCGGCGGCAGGCGCGGCGCCGGGCUGACGGCGCGGGCGCCCGGGGAGAUGACGCGGUAACAUAUCCCUGCAGGUCCGAGUCGAGCCUGGAGCGGCGGCAGGCGCGGCGCCGGGCUGACGGCGCGGGCGCCCGGGGAGAUGACGCGUAUCGAGAAUCACCCGAGUCGGAAUCACUGGUUAAUCAAUUGAGGAUACAAAUCAGGAGGCUUAAGGAGGAGCUAGCGGCCGCUCAAGCCGAGCUGCGCGCCCUGCGCAGCGGCCGCGCCGCCGCCGCCGCCGACCUGCGCGCCGCCGCCGACGUGGCCGAGGCCGAGCUGCGGUAUGUGCCUCCGCUGUCCUCAUGUUGUAUCUAGGAGCAGCUAGCGGCCGCGCCGCCGCCGCCGCCGACCUGCGCGCCGCCGCCGACGUGGCCGAGGCCGAGCUGCGGUAUGUGCCUCCGCUGUCCUCAUGUUGUAUCUAGGAGCAGCUAGCGGCCGCGCCGCCGCCGCCGCCGACCUGCGCGCCGCCGCCGACGUGGCCGAGGCCGAGCUGCGGUAUGUGCCUCCGCUGUCCUCAUGUUGUAUCUAGGAGCAGCUAGCGGCCGCGCCGCCGCCGCCGCCGACCUGCGCGCCGCCGCCGACGUGGCCGAGGCCGAGCUGCGGUAUGUGCCUCCGCUGUCCUCAUGUUGUAUCUAGGAGCAGCUAGCGGCCGCGCCGCCGCCGCCGCCGACCUGCGCGCCGCCGCCGACGUGGCCGAGGCCGAGCUGCGGUAUGUGCCUCCGCUGUCCUCAUGUUGUAUCUAGGAGCAGCUAGCGGCCGCGCCGCCGCCGCCGCCGACCUGCGCGCCGCCGCCGACGUGGCCGAGGCCGAGCUGCGGUAUGUGCCUCCGCUGUCCUCAUGUUGUAUCUAGGAGCAGCUAGCGGCCGCGCCGCCGCCGCCGCCGACCUGCGCGCCGCCGCCGACGUGGCCGAGGCCGAGCUGCGGUAUGUGCCUCCGCUGUCCUCAUGUUGUAUCUAGGAGCAGCUAGCGGCCGCGCCGCCGCCGCCGCCGACCUGCGCGCCGCCGCCGACGUGGCCGAGGCCGAGCUGCGGUAUGUGCCUCCGCUGUCCUCAUGUUGUAUCUAGGAGCAGCUAGCGGCCGCGCCGCCGCCGCCGCCGACCUGCGCGCCGCCGCCGACGUGGCCGAGGCCGAGCUGCGGUAUGUGCCUCCGCUGUCCUCAUGUUGUAUCUAGGAGCAGCUAGCGGCCGCGCCGCCGCCGCCGCCGACCUGCGCGCCGCCGCCGACGUGGCCGAGGCCGAGCUGCGGGACCUGCUGGCGGGCCUGGAGCAGCUCCGCAGCCUGAGCCGCGCGCUGGACGCGUGACGCCGCUAGUGCUAGUCGCCGGCGAGCAAUGAUGAUAACAUAGCAUUCAUGUGGUGUAACAAUAUGGUGAUGAUACCACUUACGAGGGCCCCCUACUAAGUGUGACGGGAGACAUAAUUCUUACCCUAAUUUAUUAUUAUAUUACAAUUUGCCCCUUUCAUAUACAUACUAAGUGAUGUCAAAAAUUAUGUAAAUGUACACAUACAAACAAAAAUAAUGUAAAUAUAAGUUUAAAACGAAAAUAGUAAAGAAAUAAAAUAAGUAUACCACGUGAUCGUCCAUACAAAAAGAGAUAACGUUUUCCCACUUCUAAAUAUUUUCCAUUCUCCAUGAUUUUUUUGUAUGUUAUUGACACAAUGACAAACUAGGUUUAUAGGUUUUCCUUUUUUUCAAAAUUUACAAAUAUAUUUUUUUUUUUUUUUCAAAAAAAGAAACAUUAGUAGAAUAUAUUAUGCUGAAGCGAUCGACAUCAAAAUCAAAGUGAUUUGUUAAGAUUUAGUUAGUAGAAAACAUUUUCUCCCGAAAUGGAAUUUCAUAGAAAAAUUACCGUUAUUUCGUUAGAUUCGAAAAGCUAUUAAAAAUACAAUAAAACAUGUAAUUUCAUACUGUGGGACAUUUUCACAAAUCAACCCACAGCUCUUAGAGGCUUGUCUUAUCCUUCUAAUUAAUUUAUAAUUAGCUGAAAUAAAUGUUUUAUACGUAUGUUCUCGAGUAUCAAUAGCGUUGUCUUCGCACCUCUCAUACAACAAAAUGGUUGUAAUUUUUAAACCCACCAUUAAACGGUAUCACAUUUACCGUUGCACCGACACGGCGCGUCGAGAAUGGAUACCUACAAAACGGAUGGUUGUCAUAGAAAACCGGACAUCUUUUUUCAAUGCACUGAAAGAAAGUGUCUGAAGCACAGGUAAAUGCAGUAACCCCGUUUUUCACUGGCCGCUCUUAUGAAACAAUCUAACUCUAGUUAGAGUUUAUUUUUUAAAUGUAACGUCAUUGUUUCGUUAUUUUAAAACUGAAUCUCAUUAUGAAACAGUUUUCAGAAUGUAAAUGAUUUAGUACAUCUGAGAAAGCGUCUCGCUAGCAGCUGUUUUUCUGUGUAAUACUUUUGUAUAAAAUAUUUGUCAUCAAAAUACCUACCUGUCAUAGAAAUAUAGUUCAUAGUUAAAAAUGUGUAGGUACCAUAUAUACAGUGAGCUAGUUUAUAAUUAUAUUAAAGAAAGAUAAAUAAAAAGAGAACGUGUUGCUUAAAAAAGUGGGUGUUACAAGUAUAUAGACCGUGUCAUUCACGACGCGAGCCUUGACUCGUAUUGUCAGGUUAUCAAAGGUUAGAUUGGACAAGUCUGCGCGCCAUCGUGGAUGACACGAACUAUAAACGCCACUGAAAAUAACGUAUUGAAAUAUCUUUGUAUCAUAACGUUUCUUAAAUGUUUAUAUUUAAACUUGUUGUACCCGACACAAUGUAAAUAGGUACAAGCGAUGGAGAGGGUUCGAUGUGAACGAGAAAGUAAUAUUAUAUAAUAUAACGGUGACACUGCGAGUGAUAUAUCGAGUAAGUAUGUACGUAGCUUAAGGCAGACUGUACGGCGAUUGAAUACUAUUGAAAUAUACUACUAUAAAUUAAUGACCUAACCUGAAUUAUUUGAUGACAAAACUAUUUCACAUCAGAAUAUAACGACUGAGAUUUUUUUAAUGAAAGAAGAGUUCGACCACGCUAAGUUUUCAUGCCAAGUGUUACGUCAAGUAUGGAGCUAGAGGGAUAUGUAUACACUGUUACUGCCGAGACUGUGCAAAGUUAGCGUGGUCGGCGUGUAACUUAAUAGCGCCGGUAAACGUUCUUAGAUACCAGCGGCAUAAUGUUAUUGACAUGAAUCGAUGAUAGUGCGAUCUUGGUAUUUCACAUGUAAAGGUGCUCUCACAUUGUAGUUAUAUGAAGUUACAUGGUGUAGCAAGUUUAACAAAGGAGCAAAACUAUCCCAAUAGUAGCAUAUUAGUAGAAUGUGGAGAAGUUGAUGUCGAUCAAGGGGAGGGGCACAUGGUUAAUACAUAACAGUACUCCUUGAAAUUUUCUACAAAUCGGCCUAACAUAUGAUGUACUUGACAUUUACGGUUAUUUUGUACGGACGAAAUAAAAAUAUUGGGAAAAAUAAAUAGUUUUUUUCUACUUUUCGGUUCGCAAUUACAAAAUAACCGUAAAUGCCAAGUACAUCAUAUGUUACGCGGAUUUGUAGAAAAUUUCAAGGAGUACUGUUAUGUAUUAAUCACGUGCCCCUCCCCUUGAUCGACAUCAACUUCUCCACAUUCUACUAAUAUACUACUAUUGGGACAGUUUUGCUCCUAAGUGUAUGACGUUAUAUAAGUGGUGUAUUCUCAUUUAUCCUCGCCGGGCACAGAUGAGAAUAGGUAUAUUCCCAACUGUGCCCGCCCCACGUGACCACCGCCAUACAAGAGGCGGGCACAGAUGAGAAUACACCCAUUAAUAUGCCUCAUUCCCCUGCCGUCUCAUGCAUGGCGGCGGCCACGUGGCACGGGGACAACUGGGAACACACCACAUAACAUUAUAUAAUUGCAGUGACAGAGCAUAAUAACAAGCAAUCACCGUAUAGAUAAGGUAUUCUCUAGGCACUUGUGUCUUGUAUGGACGAGGCUUAUAUCCAGAAUAUAAAUAUAUUUAUUGUAACAUUUACUUUUUAUACUUAACUUAUGCACCUUCCUUUAUGAGAUAAGCUACGAUAGUUGUGUGUUUACCUAUUUCGCUCUUUUCAACUGUUUAAAUCAUUUUGACUAUAAUUUCAGUUUGUGCCUUACCUAGUAGAUAUUUUUUAUCGUUCCUCAAUAAUAUAUGUUCUAUUUGUCGUGUAUGGAAUUGAGAAGAUUGUUUAAUGAUUAUUUUAAGACGGUUUGUUUCAAUGUACUCACGGAUGGAUCUUCCGGAUUAAAGAACUUACUUUGUUAAAA